CUGAAGCUUUUCAGUUUAAUAAAUGACGACGCUACUAGUUACCAGGGAUGGAAAAUACUUCGCUAAUAAUCCGACAAACUCCAGGCCCUGCCUCAGUAAAAUGUUUCAAUAUGCUGGAGUAAACAAACUUAAAGUGAGGAGUCUCCUUUAUCUUUUUAGGAGGCAUCUAAUCCAUCUAAUCUAAAAAAAAAAAAGAAGAAGAAGAAAAACCAUAUUGAGGUAAGUUUGCUAAUUUGCUAACUGGCUAUUUCUAACUGAUUAGCUGUUUUCUUUGCUAAUGCUAGAUUAGACUAGCAUCGAUUCCAGCAGCUAGCAUAGUUUAGCAAGUUAAAUUGAAUAAAAAUGGUACUUUUCAUAUGAAAACAUAGCAUGAACUUAGCUGUUAACAUUUUCUUUUUUCUUUCUUUAAAACAAAGAAAAACCUCAAGUACAUUUUAAAAGUAGUUUUUUUUUGUUUGUUUUUUUACUUUAGUACAUUUUUUGCUGCACACUUCCACUUUUAAUUGAGUAGGAGCCUGACACAUUAUCUAUACUUUCACUUCAAUACAAUUUCUCAGAACUUCGUCCAGUCCUGCAGUUACUAAACUGUAGCAUAAAUAUAUAUAUUGUGUGUGUGUGUGUAUAUAUAUAUAUAUAUAUAUACACACACACACACACACACACACUGUAUGUAUAUAUACUGUAUGAAUGUUAAGAUAUACCAGAGACAUGCAGCACUGAGAAUAUCAAGGAGUCUAGAGAGCAACAUAAAUCAGGACAAUUUUUUUUUAAUUAUAGUAAUGGUCUCAAAGUGAUUGAGUUGAUUUACAUCUUAUAUUUUCAUCAGUCUUGCUUUGACUUAAGUGUACAUAAGUCAUUUGCGGUAAUUAUAAUUGUUUUUUCAGUUGCCACUAUAAUAUAAUGUAGUAUAUAGACUGUAAAAUAUAUCUUUAAGUGUAUAGCAAGAUAUAAGAUUAGUAUUCAGACCAAGCAGAUCGUACAAAUCACAUUAAAAAAAGUUGUUGUUGUUGUUGUUGUUAUUAUUAUUAUUAUUAUUAGGAAGAAAUAAACAGAAACAACACAUCAUUAAAACAAAGUUCUGUUUAUUGAAUGAUUUUUUUCUUGAGAAAUGAUGCACGUAACUGUAGAAAUAUGCCGAGACGCAGCACAUAAACAUACACGUUUCACUUUUUAGCUGUUUAAAGAUAAACCUCUAACAUUUAUAGUGCUUUAAUUCACAAACAUAUAUAACUUUAAAAUAUAUUUCCUGAAAUGAAGAAA